rnacentral:rRNA from 1 species
UACAUGUGGGGCAAGCGUUGUUCGGAAUUACUGGGCAUAAAGGGUGCGUAGGCGGCUUGAUAAGUCAGUGGUGAAAUCGUCCGGCCCAACCGGACACGUGCCAAUGAUACUGUCGAGCUUGAGUGCGUGAGGGGUGGGGGGAACGAGCAGUGUAGCGGUGAAAUGCGUAGAUAUUGCUCGGAACGCCAAUGGUGAAAACAACUUGCUGGGGGUGUGCUGACGCUGAGACACGAAAGCCAGGGGAGCAAACGGG